UUAGUAUUAUUCAUGAAUGGAAGGUGGCGUCAUCUGUUGACCAAAAAAAGGCGGGAGCGGAGAAAAUGGCGCGCGAACGCCAUUUUUUCCGCUUUCCUCUUACAGUCCAGAAUGGUCUUGAAAUUCAGUUUCUUCGUUGUCGAUGCAACCGAAUUCCAAGACCAUCCUGGAUUGAUCUUCCUGAAGACGAGGAUAUCCUAUUAUCAGACGUAUAUGUAAUUCCCAUAGGUUUCACUGAAAUGAAAUACUUCACUUAGUACUGUUAAUUCCUCUAAGAUACCGCAUUAAAUGAAUCCGCAUUGAGUGAAAUCAUAUUGCUAUAGGAAAAUAAGUAAUUCAUUCCUAACAAAUUUUGUUGAAACAAAAAUAUAUGUAUAUUUACCUAACAUUAAUGAAAAAUAAUAAAAGGAUG
rnacentral:lncRNA from 1 species